rnacentral:rRNA from 1 species
UACGUAGGGUGCAAGCGUUGUCCGGAAUUAUUGGGCGUAAAGCGCACGUAGGCGGUUCGUUAAGUCGGAUGUGAAAGCCCUCGGCUCAACUGAGGAAGUGCACCCGAAACUGGCGAGCUUGAGUACGAAAGAGGAUCGCGGAAUUCCCGGUGUAGAGGUGAAAUUCGUAGAUAUCGGGAGGAACACCGGUGGCGAAGGCGGCGAUCUGGGUCGAUACUGACGCUGAGGUGCGAAAGCGUGGGGGAGCAAACAGG